GACGAACUUUGGCGGCGUGCUUAACACAUGCAAGUCGAACGGAAAGGCCCUGCUUUUGUGGGGUGCUCGAGUGGCGAACGGGUGAGUAACACGUGAGUAACCUGCCCUUGACUUUGGGAUAACUUCAGGAAACUGGGGCUAAUACCGGAUAGGAGCUCCUGCUGCAUGGUGGGGGUUGGAAAGUUUCGGCGGUUGGGGAUGGACUCGCGGCUUAUCAGCUUGUUGGUGGGGUAGUGGCUUACCAAGGCUUUGACGGGUAGCCGGCCUGAGAGGGUGACCGGCCACAUUGGGACUGAGAUACGGCCCAGACUCCUACGGGAGGCAGCAGUGGGGAAUAUUGCACAAUGGGCGGAAGCCUGAUGCAGCAACGCCGCGUGCGGGAUGACGGCCUUCGGGUUGUAAACCGCUUUCGCCUGUGACGAAGCGUGAGUGACGGUAAUGGGUAAAGAAGCACCGGCUAACUACGUGCCAGCAGCCGCGGUGAUACGUAGGGUGCGAGCGUUGUCCGGGUUUAUUGGGCGUAAAGGGCUCGUAGGUGGUUGAUCGCGUCGGAAGUGUAAUCUUGGGGCUUAACCCUGAGCGUGCUUUCGAUACGGGUUGACUUGAGGAAGGUAGGGGAGAAUGGAAUUCCUGGUGGAGCGGUGGAAAUGCGCAGAUAUCAGGAGGAACACCAGUGGGCGAAGGCGGUUCUCUGGGCCUUUCCUGACGCUGAGGAGCGAAAGCGUGGGGAGCGAACAGGCUUAGAUACCCUGGUAGUCCACGCUGUAAACGGUGGGUACUAGGUGUGGGGUCCAUUCCACGGGUUCCGUGCCGUAGCUAACGCUUUAAGUACCCCGCCUGGGGAGUACGGCCGCAAGGCUAAAACUCAAAGGAAUUGACGGGGCCCCGCACAAGCGGCGGAGCAUGCGGAUUAAUUCGAUGCAACGCGUAGAACCUUACCUGGGUUUGACAUGGAUCGGGAGUGCUCAGAGAUGGGUGUGCCUCUUUUGGGGUCGGUUCACAGGUGGUGCAUGGCUGUCGUCAGCUCGUGUCGUGAGAUGUUGGGUUAAGUCCCGCAACGAGCGCAACCCUUGUUCACUGUUGCCAGCACGUUAUGGUGGGGACUCAGUGGAGACCGCCGGGGUCAACUCGGAGGAAGGUGGGGAUGACGUCAAGUCAUCAUGCCCCUUAUGUCCAGGGCUUCACGCAUGCUACAAUGGCUGGUACAGAGAGUGGCGAGCCUGUAAGGGUGAGCGAAUCUCGGAAAGCCGGUCUCAGUUCGGAUUGGGGUCUGCAACUCGACCUCAUGAAGUCGGAGUCGCUAGUAAUCGCAGAUCAGCAACGCUGCGGUGAAUACGUUCCCGGGGCU
rnacentral:rRNA from 1 species